CUUUUUCCAGGGAAGUCACGGCUUCGAACGUUGCGGAUGCCUCUGCCCUCCGUGGGUGUGGAUGUGGGCGUCGAGGGGGGCAUCCACCCAGUUUAGUUCCCAGCCUUGGAAGGAGUUGCUGCCGCACAGUGACUGGAGUAAAACUCAAUUUGCACAGACCGGCAUUCCGGGGUGCCGGUCUCCGGCUUGUUGAUGCUAGAGAGGUAAGUGUGCCUUUGCUCACUGAUGCAGCAUCUCCCAGAAGCACUCAAGCAGCCAGUCAUAUUUAGUGAGGACAGCGGCGGGUUGCGGGGUUGAGUCAGGUACAUGGUGAUGCACCGCCAUCUUGUAAAGCAGGUCUAAGUGCCUCUGUGUACAGAUAUUUUCCAUUGAAGAUGCAGGUAAGAGCGGCAGCUUCCCCAGUAGGGACUGGGAUAACCUCCAUCGGUCCAAAGGGGGAGGUAAUGGGGUCAGCAAGAUGUAGUGUUGUAGAGCCUACGUGAUUCCCCUGGGCAAAGGAGCAGAGCGGCGGCUGUCCACACUACUCGCAGUCCUAGAAACC